UACGGGGGGGGCAAGCGUUGUUCGGAAUUACUGGGCGUAAAGGGCUCGUAGGUGGCCAACUAAGUCAGACGUGAAAUCCCUCAGCUUAACUGGGGAACUGCGUCUGAUACUGGUUGGCUUGAGUGCAGGAGAGGAAUGCGGAAUUCCAGGUGUAGCGGUGAAAUGCGUAGAUAUCUGGAGGAACACCGGUGGCGAAGGCGGCAUUCUGGACUGCAACUGACACUGAAAGACGAAAGCCAGGGGAGCAAACGGG
rnacentral:rRNA from 1 species